CUCCCUCCCACCAUCUCUCUUCUUUAAGGCUCCUAUCAUAUUAUCUAUCCCUAGUAUCACAGUUCUUUGUUUGUUACUGCCCUUCACAAAGUUUCAUUAUUUCUCACAUUAAUGCUGAAAAAGUUGAAAAAUGUGUGUUGGUUGACAUAUGUUUCACUUUCCAAAGAAAUGCACUGAGAAUGGGCCAAUUAGGAGAAAUCCAGCUGGAAAUGUGGCCAGACCAAUGGUGCAACGUCUUCCUGAACCACAGGAUGUCGCUCAGUGCUUGGAAGUUGGUUUAUUUGACACGCCUCCUUUUUAUUCCAACUCUACAAACAGCUUCCGAAACACAGUGGAAGGCAA
rnacentral:sRNA from 1 species